AGAGGUAUAGUUUAAUGGUAAAAUCUUAGUCUCCAAAACUAAUGAUAUGAGUUCGAUUCUCAUUACCUCUA
rnacentral:tRNA from 2 species